rnacentral:lncRNA from 1 species
UAUGUUUAGUGAACUUUUGUUGAGAUUCAUAAGGAGAGUAUACAUUUGGAGUAGGUGGUGAAGUUAUGACGAAAUUCACAUGCUCAAAACUGAAAUAGGGUGGUUUUGACGGCGGUGCUUGGGGUGGACGUAAGACUCUGUGUGUUGAUUCUAGAGGAGGAGAGUCAGACCAAAUAAAAGGAGAUUAAAGCCUGACUUUUGUAGAUUGUGAUUUUGGUAGUGUCGUCAUUGAUUUCUUGCCAUUUACUACUUUUAUUGCUGCUUUCAUCCAUCGUAUGAGAAAUUGACUUUCGCCACUCGGUUGAAAAUUGAUUAGCCACUUUGAACAUAAUUGUGCCUUUUGGUUGUGCUCCAUCCGGAUAUGAUGAUUCCUUUAGGUCCUCCUUAAUAGGUUCAACGAUUAUUUCGAUAUUCCAAGUAAAAUUGUUGGUGAUGUCAAAAUUAAAAUCCGGUGGCUUUAGAGGAACCAUGAAAUCAACAUUGUGUGGUCAUUUUAGGGGAACAAAUAAAGAUUCCACAACAAAAUCCUAGUGGAAAGAAGUUUCUUCCAUAGGUUUCAUUGGUUCAAGAUCUGGCUCAAUUUUCUCAUCUAAAUCCUGAAAAAAGGUGUCUCCAUUCAAGUUUGAAGCGCCAAUGAAACACAUUUGUGAAUGUAUUCCAAGACAUCCAUGGAUGUUGUUGAGACCUCCAUAGCCACCAUUUGAGAGCACGACCUCUCAUUGCCAUUUCAU